UACGUAGGGUGCAAGCGUUGUCCGGAAUUAUUGGGCGUAAAGAGCUCGUAGGCGGUGUGUCGCGUCGGCCGUGAAAACCUGCAGCUUAACUGUGGGCUUGCGGUCGAUACGGGCAUCACUGGAGUUCGGCAGGGGAGACUGGAAUUCCUGGUGUAGCGGUGAAAUGCGCAGAUAUCAGGAGGAACACCGGUGGCGAAGGCGGGUCUCUGGGCAGUAACUGACGCUGAGGAGCGAAAGCGUGGGGAGCAAACAGG
rnacentral:rRNA from 1 species